CCUUCGGGUGGCAGCAGUGAGGAAUAUUGGUCAAUGGGCGUAAGCCUGAACCAGCCAAGUCGCGUGAGGGAUGAAGGUUCUAUGGAUCGUAAACCUCUUUUAUAAGGGAAUAAAGUGCGGGACGUGUCCCGUUUUGUAUGUACCUUAUGAAUAAGGAUCGGCUAACUCCGUGCCAGCAGCCGCGGUAAUACGGAGGAUCCGAGCGUUAUCCGGAUUUAUUGGGUUUAAAGGGUGCGUAGGUUGUUUUAUAAGUUAGCGGUGAAAUACCGAUGCUCAACAUCGGGGCUGCCGCUGAUACUGUAGGACUAGAGAUCGGAUGCAGCAGGCGGAAUGUGUAGUGUAGCGGUGAAAUGCAUAGAUAUUACACAGAACACCGAUUGCGAAGGCAGCUUGCUAGGCCGGAUCUGACACUGAUGCACGAAAGCGUGGGGAUCGAACAGGAUUAGAUACCCCAGUAGUC
rnacentral:rRNA from 1 species